UACGAAGGGGGCUAGCGUUGCUCGGAAUCACUGGGCGUAAAGGGUGCGUAGGCGGGUUUUUAAGUCAGAGGUGAAAUCCUGGAGCUCAACUCCAGAACUGCCUUUGAUACUGAGAAUCUUGAGUUCGGGAGAGGUGAGUGGAACUGCGAGUGUAGAGGUGAAAUUCGUAGAUAUUCGCAAGAACACCAGUGGCGAAGGCGGCUACCUGGACCAGCACUGACACUGAGGCACGAAAGCGUGGGGAGCAAACAGG
rnacentral:rRNA from 1 species